UGGGGAAUAUUGGACAAUGGGCGAAAGCCUGAUCCAGCCAUGCCGCGUGUGUGAAGAAGGUCUUCGGAUUGUAAAGCACUUUAAGUUGGGAGGAAGGGCAUUAACCUAAUACGUUAGUGUUUUGACGUUACCGACAGAAUAAGCACCGGCUAACUCUGUGCCAGCAGCCGCGGUAAUACAGAGGGGGCAAGCGGUAAUCGGAAUUACUGGGCGUAAAGCGCGCGUAGGUGGUUUGUUAAGUUGGAUGUGAAAUCCCCGGGCUCAACCUGGGAACUGCAUUCAAAACUGACUGACUAGAGUAUGGUAGAGGGUGGUGGAAUUUCCUGUGUAGCGGUGAAAUGCGUAGAUAUAGGAAGGAACACCAGUGGCGAAGGCGACCACCUGGACUAAUACUGACACUGAGGUGCGAAAGCGUGGGGAGCAAACA
rnacentral:rRNA from 1 species